UCUGUAAACUUAUCUUUUAGAACUAUGUCUGUUGGAUAGGAGAUUCCAUUGAAAGCUCCAAGACUAUUAUUAUGGUCCAAAGUUGAAGAAGAACUUUGACAUUUAGUAACAACUUUUGAAACCUUUUCUUCCAUUUUCUGCUUAAAGCUAUUAUUGUUGUUAUUAUUAUCACAUUGUUUGGUUCCAAUGUUUGAGGAUUAUGAAGGAACAGCUUUAAGAUUGAUGUUGUUGUUGUCACUCCUUGGACACCCUCCGCAUCUUAAUGUCUCCAAUGAAUGGCAGUGCUUCACAAGUUCAGAUAUACCAAUUGCAGUAAUUUUGGUGCACCGGCUUAUGUCCAGAGCUUUAAUGAAUCUACAUACUUCAG
rnacentral:lncRNA from 1 species